rnacentral:rRNA from 1 species
AAGCCAGACUCCUACGGGAGGCAGCAGUGAGGAAUAUUGGUCAAUGGGCGAGAGCCUGAACCAGCCAAGUCGCGUGAGGGAGUACUGCCCUAUGGGUUGUAAACCUCUUUUGUCGGGGAGCAAAAGCCGGACGUGUCCGGCUGUGAGAGUACCCGAAGAAAAAGCAUCGGCUAACUCCGUGCCAGCAGCCGCGGUAAUACGUAGGGGGCGAGCGUUGUCCGGAAUCACUGGGCGUAAAGGGCGCGUAGGCGGUAAUAUAAGUCAGAUGUGAAAGGUGGGGGCUCAACCCCUAGAGUGCAACUGAUACUGUAUAACUUGAGUGUGAGAGAGGGAAGCGGAAUUCCUAGUGUAGCGGUGAAAUGCGUAGAUAUCAGGAGGAACACCGGCGGCGAAGGCGGCCUGCUGGACCGUGACUGACGUUGAGGCUCGAGAGCGUGGGGAGCAAACAGGAUUAGAUACCCGCGUACGC